rnacentral:tRNA from 1 species
GGCAGGUUAGCUCAGUCGGUUAGAGUGAGGUGCUGAUAACGCCAAGGUCGCGGGUUCGAUUCCCAUUCGGUCC